rnacentral:lncRNA from 10 species
GAAAAUUCUGUAACCAGUGCUCUUGAGCUACUUGCUUGAGCCUGCUCCCACUCUGUGGAGUAUACUUUCAUUUCAAUAAAUCUGGCUUUUAUUGCUUCAUUCUUUCAUUGCUUUGUUUGUGCAUUUUGUUCAAAACGUCAAGAACUUGGACAAUCUGUAGUCAAGGACCUCCACUGAUAACAGUUCCACAGAUACACGCAAAGACAAAGAACACAGAAAGCACAUCACCCACAAAAUGCAGAGUACUCUGGAAGAUGGAGUCUUGCUUUGUCGCCCAGGCUGGAGUGCAGCGGCACAAUCUCGACUUACUGCAACCUCCACCUCACGGGUUCAAGCGAUUCUGCUGCCUCAGCCACCCCAGGAGCUGGGAUUACGGGUGUCUGCCAUCACCCCUGGGUGAGCACACAGCAAGAAGGUAGCUGUCUGCAAGCUGGGAAGAGAGACCUAACCAAAACUUAACCACGCUGGCACCCUGAUCUCAGAAACUCAGUCUCCAGAACUGUGAGAAAAUAAAUGUCUGUUGUUUAAGCCACGCAGUCUGUGGUAUUUUGUUAUAGAAGACUGACUGAGCAGACUAAUACAAGGAUUUUGUAUUCUGACUGUGUCAUGUGUGACUUUGAGCAAUUAUUCAACUUCGCUGAG